UACAGAGGGGGCAAGCGUUUGUUCGGAAUUACUGGGCGUAAAGGGCGCGUAGCGGCCGCCUAAGUCGAACGUGAAAUCCCCAGGCUUAACCUGGGAACUGCAUUCGAGACUGCAUUGCUAGAGUAUGGGAGAGGGAAGUGGAAUUUCCGGUGUAGCGGUGAAAUGCGUAGAUAUCGGAAGGAACAUCAGUGGCGAAAGCGACUUCCUGGACCAAUACUGACGCUCAUGUGCGAAAGCGUGGGGAGCAAACAGG
rnacentral:rRNA from 1 species